GUUUUGCAGGUUUGCAUUUCAGCGUAUUGUGUAUAUCAGGCUGUGCAAAUCCAUGCAAAACUG
rnacentral:pre_miRNA from 1 species